GUCGAACGGUAGAGGGGGCAACCCCUCGAGAGUGGCGAACGGGUGAGUAAUAUAUCGGAACGUGCCCAGUCGUGGGGGAUAACGUAGCGAAAGUUACGCUAAUACCGCAUACGAUCUACGGAUGAAAGCGGGGGAUCGCAAGACCUCGCGCGAUUGGAGCGGCCGAUAUCAGAUUAGGUAGUUGGUGGGGUAAAGGCUCACCAAGCCAACGAUCUGUAGCUGGUCUGAGAGGACGACCAGCCACACUGGAACUGAGACACGGUCCAGACUCCUACGGGAGGCAGCAGUGGGGAAUUUUGGACAAUGGACGCAAGUCUGAUCCAGCCAUUCCGCGUGCAGGAUGAAGGCCCUCGGGUUGUAAACUGCUUUUGUACGGAACGAAAAGGUUUCCAUUAAUACUGGGAGCUCAUGACGGUACCGUAAGAAUAAGCACCGGCUAACUACGUGCCAGCAGCCGCGGUAAUACGUAGGGUGCAAGCGUUAAUCGGAAUUACUGGGCGUAAAGCGUGCGCAGGCGGUUAUGUAAGACAGAGGUGAAAUCCCCGGGCUCAACCUGGGAACUGCCUUUGUGACUGCAUAGCUAGAGUACGGUAGAGGGGGAUGGAAUUCCGCGUGUAGCAGUGAAAUGCGUAGAUAUGCGGAGGAACACCGAUGGCGAAAGCAAUCCCCUGGACCUGUACUGACGCUCAUGCACGAAAGCGUGGGAGCAAACAGGAUUAGAUACCCUGGUAGUCCACGCCCUAAACGAUG
rnacentral:rRNA from 1 species